GAUGAAGAACGUAGCGAAAUGCGAUAAGUAAUGUGAAUUGCAGAGUUCAGUGAAUCAUCGAAUCUUUGAACGCAUCUUGCGCUCCUUGGUAUUCCGAGGAGCAUGCCUGUUUGAGUGUCAUUUAACUUCUCAACCACAUUGGAUAUUUUUUUUCCGAUGCCGGCUUGGAUGUGGGGGUUGUUUGCAGGCUUUUUGUAACAAAAAAGGUUGGCUCCCCUGAAAUGUAUUAGUGGUAUCUGAGGCUAUUACUAUUAGGUGUGAUAAUUAUCUAUGCCUUUUGGGUAUGCCGCAUGAACAGAUUAUGCUGCUUCUAACGAAAACUAUUUUGAUGAAUUUGACCUCAAAUCAGGUAGGACUACCCGCUGAACUUAAGCAUAUCAAUAAGCGGAGGA
rnacentral:misc_RNA from 1 species